AGGCGCCCCCGUUGGUCUUGUAGAAGGAGGUGGCAAAGGAGCGGUAGCGCUCCAUUUCCGAGUUGUAAUCCACAAGGCUGUUCAGAGCCCCCUCGGACGGUGAAUUCCCAGGCAGCGUCUUCCUUUGCAUUAUCCUCCAACUGUUACAACUAAAAUAAAGAAAGUCAUUCCAACGAGCUGCACGAGGAAAAAGAUUAAAAAUAAACAACCUCCCUCACUAACCCACCGCAGACACCGAAAGCUCCCACAUUCUUCCAUCAGGUCGUUUGCAUAAGAAUCAUCAAGACGUGACCCCCCCCAGCCCAUCCCCCCCAACUCUCCCAACCCCCGCUCCCUCCCUCCCCACAGCAAACCACAGCUCCUCCCCCCUAUUCUUAUAACCCUCCUGAGAAAAUGUAUUAAUAGCCAGGAUACCCAGGGAAAGAAGGAAGACGGGGGUGACAAACGCCUAAGGAAAAGGGCAAUUGGAGUGCUAAAGACAUGCAAAUCAUGGGUGGGAGGGCGAUACUACCUAUAAGCAGAGGGCAUUUAAACAUUAUGAAAUGUGUGAACAAGUGCUGCCUGGGCAUGCAAAUGCUGUAAAGUAGAAAACAGCAAUGGCCCUAUGAGGAAAAUGAACAGGAAAUUAGCAAAUGAAGUACUGAAAAAGUCUACAAUACAUCCGAGUAUAAACUGUAAGCAAACACAAUACAACUGAGAGCUAAGAGACUGCCCACAUACAAUCUGAACUAAAGAGGCAGGGAAAAAAGAACUACCAGCUGCCACAGUAUCCUUCUGUGUCUGCGGUCAUUAGUUUGAAUCCCAGCACAGCUGGCUCUGUUAGGGUCUUAAUUCAAUGGACCAAGGACAGGUCUCAAUUGUACAAG
rnacentral:lncRNA from 1 species